AGGUGCGAUCAUAACAACACUAAUGCACAUGAUCCCAUCAGAAUUCCGCAGUUAAGCGUGCUUAGGCGAGAGUAGUAAUAGGAUGGGUGGCCUCUCGAAAAUUCCUCGUGUUGCACACC
rnacentral:rRNA from 1 species